rnacentral:rRNA from 1 species
ACCUGACGCAGCGACGCCGCGUGAGGGAUGAAGGCCUUCGGGUUGUAAACCUCUUUCAGCAGGGACGAAGCGAGAGUGACGGUACCUGCAGAAGAAGCACCGGCCAACUACGUGCCAGCAGCCGCGGUAAUACGUAGGGUGCAAGCGUUGUCCGGAAUUAUUGGGCGUAAAGAGCUCGUAGGCGGUCUGUCGCGUCGGCUGUGAAAACUCGGGGCUCAACCCCGAGCCUGCAGUCGAUACGGGCAGACUAGAGUGCUGUAGGGGAGACUGGAAUUCCUGGUGUAGCGGUGAAAUGCGCAGAUAUCAGGAGGAACACCGGUGGCGAAGGCGGGUCCCUGGGCAGUAACUGACGCUGAGGAGCGUAAGCGUGGGGAGCAAACAGGAUUAGAUACCCUGGUAGUCCACGCCGUAAACGGUGGGUGCUAGGUGUGAGCGGUAUUCCACGCCGUUCGUGCCGCAGCUAACGCAUUAAGCACCCCGCCUGGGGAGUACGGCCGCAAGGCUA